UUCGGCUUCUCCGGUGCUCCGUCACCCCUAUAGUUGUUUGGGCUUUGUUCCACACCUCAAUAGGAUGCUAUAGGUAGUGGUAAUUGAAGGAAUUUGUUUCCAAUUUGGGGGAUUGACCUCUAUGAACCCGCACACUCACCAGUGCGAUUUCCCCAAUUUCAAGGCUAUUUUGUAUGGAAUUUGGGGUAGAAUAGGUAGAGGGGAUGAUGAGAAAUCAUUUCCAA
rnacentral:lncRNA from 1 species